GGAGGAUUCGCAUAGUGGUCUAGUGCACCGCCUUGGAAAGGCGGCAGGCUCGAAAGGGUCUCGAGGGUUCAAAUCCCUCAUCCUCCG
rnacentral:tRNA from 1 species